AACGAACGCUGGCGGCAUGCCUAACACAUGCAAGUCGAACGACACCACCGGGUGUAGUGGCGCAUGCGUGCGUAACGCGUGGGAACCUGCCCGUAUGUUCCGAAUUACUCUCUGACAUGGGUGCUAAUACCGGGUAACGUACUCGAAUCAAAGAUUUAACGCGCUUGGAUGGGCCCGCGUUGUAUUAGCUUGUUGGUAGGGUAAAAGCCUACCACGGCGACGCUCGAUAGCUGGUCUGAGAGGAUGAUCAGCCACACUGGGACUGAGACACGGCCGGGAAUCCUAGGCGAGGGAGCAGUGGGGAAUAUUGGAAAAUGGGCGAAGGCCUGAAGGAGCUCUGCCGGGUAAGUCAUGAAGGUCGUAGAGUAGUAAAGCUCUUUUAUCCGGGAUGGUAAUGACGGUACCGGAAGAAUAAGCUCCGGCUAACUUCGUG
rnacentral:rRNA from 1 species